GAGGAGAUUAAGAGCAGACCCAACAGAAUAAUUAUUCUCAGGGUAGUUGGGAAAAUGGUCAACUGCCAAAUUAAACAGAUAAUCAGAGAUUGGAAGG